GCUCUGAUGUGGGGUGCAUGACUGCCAAAUCUUAUCACACCCUAGCAUGGCUCUUACUAGAGAUGAGUUGGAUGAAGUUAGGAAGGAGCUUCAUGGUUCCAUUUUUGCACUUCCUAAAGUCUUACAAAUGCUUUAAUCGAGCAUUUUUAAUCGAGCAUUCGACAAUCUCCCUCAGUAGUCCAUAGAGGAUUUGUACUCUAUUGCUCCCAAAAUUCUCUUCUUAGCCUCAAC
rnacentral:lncRNA from 1 species